rnacentral:rRNA from 5 species
GCGGGGUAGCUAUGUGCGGAAGAGAUAAGUGCUGAAAGCAUCUAAGCACGAAACUUGCCUUGAGAUGAGUUUUCCCCAGGUAUAACCUGGUAAGGGUUGUUUAAGACGAAGACGUAGAUAGGCGGGGUGUGUAAGUGUAGUGAUAUAUUGAGCUAACCCGUACUAAUUGCCCGAGAGGCUUAACCAUACAACGCUCAAGGGUUUUG